UACGUAGGUGGCAAGCGUUGUCCGGAAUUAUUGGGCGUAAAGCGCGCGCAGGCGGCCUUUUAAGUCUGAUGUGAAAUCUUGCGGCUCAACCGCAAGCGGCCAUUGGAAACUGGGAGGCUUGAGUACAGAAGAGGAGAGUGGAAUUCCACGUGUAGCGGUGAAAUGCGUAGAUAUGUGGAGGAACACCAGUGGCGAAGGCGACAUCCUGGACCGGUAUUGACGCUGAGGCGCGAAAGCCAGGGGAGCAAACGGG
rnacentral:rRNA from 1 species